AAAUGUGAUAAGUAAUGUGAAUUGCAGAAUUCAGUGAAUCAUCGAAUCUUUGAACGCACCUUGCGCUCCCUAGUAUUCUGGGGAGCAUGUCUGUUUGAGUGUCAUGAACUCUUCAACCCACUGGUUUCUUGUAGACUAGCUGGUGUUUGGAUUUUGAACGUUGCUGGUCUUCGGACGUAGCUCGUUCGUAAUACAUUAGCAUCUCUAAUUCGAAUUCGGAUUGACUCAGUGUAAUAGACUAUUCGCUGAGGACACUUUUAAUAGUGGCCGAACAAGAUAAUUGUAGAAGCUUCAAACCUCUAUAGUCAAUUUUAGAUUAGACCUCAGAUCAGGCAGGAUUACCCGCUGAACUUAA
rnacentral:sRNA from 1 species